rfam:Peptostreptococcus anaerobius CAG:621 genomic scaffold, scf18
AUAAAUCUUCGGGGGUGGGUGAGAUUCCCUACCGGCGGUAUAGCCCGCGAGCCAUUAUGGCAUGAUUUGGUGAGAUUCCAAAGCCGACAGUAAAGUCUGGAUGAAAGAAGAUAGUG